GGGGCGAACGCUGGCGGCGUGCUUAACGCAUGCAAGUCGAGCGGAAAGGCCUUUCGGGGUACUCGAGCGGCGAACGGGUGAGUAACACGUGAGUAAUCUGCCCAUCGCUUCAGGAUAGCCAUCGGAAACGGUGAUUAAUACUGGAUAUGACAUUCCUUCGCAUGUUGGGGUGUGGUAAAGUUUUUUCGGCGGUGGAUGUGCUCGCGGCCUAUCAGCUUGUUGGUGGGUAAUGGCCUACAAGGCUUUGACGGGUAGCCGGCCUGAGAGGGUCGACCGGCCACGACUGGGACUGACGACACGGCCCAGACCUCCGUACGGGAGCAGCAGGUGGGAAUAGUGGACAAGUGGGACGGAAGCCUGAUCCAGCCAACGCCGGCGUGGAGGGAUCGGACGGUCCGUUCGGGUUACGUAACCUUCGUUACAGACAC
rnacentral:rRNA from 1 species